rnacentral:rRNA from 1 species
AGGUCACUGCUAUCGGGGUUCGAUUAAGCCAUGCGAGUCGAGAGGGUUCGGCCCUCGGCGUACUGCUCAGUAACACGUGGAUAACCUGCCCUAGGGAAGGGGAUAACCCCGGGAAACUGGGGAUAAUACCCUAUAGAUUACAGAUGCUGGAAUGCCCUGUAAUCCAAAGUUCCGACGCCCUAGGAUGGAUCUGCGGCCGAUUAGGUUGUUGUUGGGGUAAUGGCCCAACAAGCCCGUAAUCGGUACGGGUUGUGGGAGCAAGAGCCCGGAGUUGGAUUCUGAGACACGAAUCCAGGCCCUACGGGGCGCAGCAGGCGCGAAAACUUUACAAUGCGGGCAACCGUGAUAAGGGAACCUCGAGUGCCUGUAAAUGCAGGCUGUUCAGGUGCCUAAAACACACCUGAAGAAAGGGCCGGGCAAGACCGGUGCCAGCCGCCGCGGUAAUACCGGCGGCUGCGAGUGGUGGCCGCUUUUAUUGGGCUUAAAGCGUCGUAGCUGGGUUGUUAAGUCUCUUGGGAAAUCUGGCGGCUUAACCGUCAGGCGUCUAAGGGAUACUGGCAAUCUUGGAACCGGGAGAGGUGAGGGGUACUUCGGGGGUAGGAGUGAAAUCCUGUAAUCCUCGAGGGACCACCUGUGGCGAAGGCGCCUCACCAGACGGCUUCGACAGUGAGGGACGAAAGCUGGGGGAGCAAACCGGAUUUAGAUACCCGGGUAGUCCCAGCCGUAAACUAUGCGCGUUAGGUGUAUCGGUGACCACGAGUUACCGAGGUGCCGAAGGGAAACCGUGAAACGUGCCGCCUGGGAAGUACGGUCGCAAGGCUGAAACUUAAAGGAAUUGGCGGGGGAGCACCACAACAGGUGGAGCCUGCGGUUUAAUUGGACUCAACGCCGGGAAGCUCACCGGAUAAGACAGCAGAAUGAUUGCCGGGCUGAAGACUCUGCAUGACUAGCUGAGAGGAGGUGCAUGGCCGUCGUCAGUUCGUACUGUGAAGCAUCCUGUUAAGUCAGGCAACGGCAAGACCCACGCCAACAGUUGCCAGCAUGGUCUCGCGGACGAUGGGGACACUGUUGGGACCGCCUCUGCUAAAGAGGAGGAAGGAAUGGGCAACGGUAGGUCAUCAUAA